rnacentral:rRNA from 1 species
CAGUAGCCGCGGUAAAACGUAUGGUGCGAGCGUUAAUCGGAAUUACUGGGCGUAAAGCGUGCGCAGGCGGUUCGUUAAGACAGAUGUGAAAUCCCCGGGCUUAACCUGGGAACUGCAUUUGUGACUGGCGAGCUAGAGUAUGGCAGAGGGGGGUAGAAUUCCACGUGUAGCAGUGAAAUGCGUAGAGAUGUGGAGGAAUACCGAUGGCGAAGGCAGCCCCCUGGGCCAAUACUGACGCUCAUGCACGAAAGCGUGGGGAGCAAACAGGAUUAGAUACCCGCGUAGUCCCUGUCUCUUAUAA